CUUCCCGUCAGCUUGAGAUCGGAUGCUGUUGCUAAGUACCUCAGAGAAGUCCUGUGUGUUACGUGCGCGUCAUAAUACCACACUGAUGCAUACAAUCAAAGGCAAUCUACUCGGCUGUGCCUUGUUGAGCUGUUAAACAACCAAAUUAAAUCACUGGAUUGCAUUUGAUGGACUACUGUGUGUUCUGACCAACACCCCAAGAAGAUACCCAUCACAAACUUGCCACAUCAUAUACAGUCCAACCAGUCACCACCAUUCUACACAGCAGGGCGGAGCGUCGCCGGAGCAGAGAGCCGGGAUAGAGGAAGAUUGUCGUCUGCAGACCCGCCGCGGCGAAGCUGCUGCCCGGCUGGUCGAUUGGUGCAAACAGCAGGAGCGUCCGCCCUGCUUCACGUAAGGAAAGUGUGCUAUUUCGUCCUGCACGAGACGCGUGUGUGUGACCAAGGGUGGCUCCGCUGGCUUGUCAGUUCCCUCUUCGCGUUCGUAGGAGUUGCAGAGCGCGGCGGGGGAUAGGAUCUGAGAGGCAGCGCAAUUCCACCCAGCAGCACGACUACGUGGAGCCUGGCGUCCGGACAGCAAAUGACUCUUUAUGGGACACGAGGGUGUAUUUGGGGGAUAUUUUUUUAGAUUUGUUCAUUUUUUUUUCCCUUGUUUUUUUUUUUUUUUUGGCGUUGCUGCUGGAGGGAAGGUGAUAAGCAGCAACGCCUGCUUUAUAUAAGUGUGCGUGUGUGUAUGUGGGAGCGCUCCCGGUGGCAGCCUGCGACACUGCCUGGUCAGCCCCGUGCGGGACUGGCUCACCCUGGCCGGAGGGAGGCGCCAACUGCAGCUAGUGAGGGGAAAUUGCAGUGCUUGCUUCUGCCCGAGUGUGAAGGUGCGAGGGGAUCACUGUGUGCUGUGGAACUGGAGUGUGUACACUUACCUGUGGGGGGCGUUAUCCUUUGGGGGGAGGGGCCACGGUUCUCACGGGGCUCACAAGUGGAGGAGUAGGCGAAGGGGGUGACUCCAGGUGUGCUGUCAGUGAUGAACUUUUUUUUAUCGUAAGUUUUAACUCCAACUUGAAAAAAUAGUUUGUAUUGCUGCCUACCUGGUCUCGCGUUGUGGUGGGCUGACUGUGCUCGGAACAGUUCAGUGUCCGGGUCGGCUAAACCGUGACACUCCCGUAGACUUGCAUGCAAAAUUCACGACUUUCUCAAUGUUAUUUAAUAACUUGACCAUGUUUAUAUAAUGUCGGUAUAAUUUUUUUGCAUUGUAGCAGUCACAUACUACCAAAUAUAUUCUCACCAACAUGAUCACAUGAGUAACUUUAGAGAUCGCGGGUUUUCCCCCAUAAAGAUAGCUGACCGAAUGCAUGUGUCAGCCAGCAGUUAAGUCACCGACCGUCUAGUUUCGAGGUAAAUUAACUUAUUGAUUAUCUAAAUGCCUUAGAUAAAACAUAAAACUUCACAUUGGGAUUUCGUUUUUAUUAAUAUUACACCUGACAGCACAACUCUUCGCUAUUACUAUUAGGCUGCUGGGGAUCCGUUGAUAUGUGGCUAAACUGCUACCUAGCUGCUAACUCUAGGUAACAUUACUAACCUGCAGAUUCCCCAUACAAUCAUAUGGUCUUCCCCGAAUCGGACACGUUACCUUUACUUUUUUUUCCAAUUGUAGGCGCACAGAAUCGUUAUUGUAGACAGAUGUUUAAUAUACAUCUGAUAGAUCAUGUAAAAAUGAUAAAAAGUAAGAUUACACGAUAACACAAUAAAACACUCGAGAAUAGUCAAUUUUCUGUUGGUACUGGUUAGGCCACUGCCUGGUGGGUUUCUGCCACCAGCUAAUGCUCACGCGCUGCAAUGUUUGUAAAUAUAGGAAAUGCAAAGUUGAAGUAUCAAAUAAUCAUAGCCUACCGCAGCCACCUUGUGGUAAAACAUAUGAAUGAAUGCUCAUUUAGACCUAUUAGCAAUGUUGAUAGGCUACUUUAGACUGAUUCGCUGAGGUAGGCUACUUGCAUUUAAAGGGCUCAAAUAGGCUAUUUUUUGCGGCUCCAGACAGAUUUUUUUUUUUCUUUCUGGCCAAAAAUGGCUCUUUAGAUGGUAAAGGUUGCCGAACCCUGCUCUAAACCAUUCAGGAGUAUAGGAGUAUAUUUGUGGAGUACAUUUGUGUAACUUGUGCACUGGUCCAAGGUUACAAUUUGUCAGUUAAGGUCUAAUGAGAGAAGUGUCUAAUGGUAAAAUUUCAAAAAAGCUACCAGUUCAUUAUGGAACAAGGAGUGACUUUUAAAUUAAGUCAGCCAGAUGGCUGUGAAUCAGAAGAUAAGGAAAGGCAGUGUUCAGCAGCUCGGGUUCUUCUCUUCAUCUGUGUCAAUGUGGGAGCUGCACCUGCCUGCUCCUGCCACUAUCUCUCCAGCUAAUGAAGCUCAUUGAUGGGAUGCUCAAUACCAUAAAGACCUGGCUUUAUAGCAGCUCUGAUUCUGUGGGUCAGGAGAGAGGAGAGUGUUCAUUUGAGUGAUGCUGUGAGUGUGAGUUUCCCUCUCUUACAGGGGAAAUGCUACAAUGAUCUGAGCAGGCCUGAUCCCUCACCUAUACCUUUUAGUCAAGUUUACACAUCCUGAUGUGUCACACUGCUUAAGCAUCAGUUUAAGCUCCUUCUGUCUCACCAAGUCUCGAGUCAUUCUAGUCCUGACUAGUUUUCUUAUGCUGAACUUUUUAUGGACGAAGUUCUUCUGCUUUGGACUUUUUUUCUUUGAGCUUUUCUCGGUUCUGAGCGCUUUGAAAGACUGCUUUUGUUCACUUCAAAAACAUGCCUGUUGAGUUCCUGGAUCUUCUCCUGUCAGCUGUUGUACUGAGUGCAUCUCUGGUACUAUAGCUCAAAUUUCCAUAACAGAAAAUUACACAAUAUGGGAAAAAAUACUUUCAGGCCCUGUUGAUAGUAUAAUCAACAUGAAAAGCUCUAACCCCCAUAUAAACUGAAUGAGUAAUUGCUUUUAUAGAGAUCUGUUUAUUUUUUCCCCCUGGAGCUGCUUGUCUUUUACAGCACCAAGGCACUGUAUGUACUGUGUUCCUCCAGUUCCUCUCUUUGCUGUUCUUUAACAACUGGGAGUGUGGGUGUAAUAAACUAAUUAACAUUGUACUCCUCGAUUGUCUUUCAGCUCCAUUUGAACAGUUAUCUUGCCAGCUGCACUGUUUUGUCCCACAGCCACUGGAGCUGUGUAUUACUGAUCUAAUAUACCUGGAAUGACACAUCAGCCUGGUGUCUUCAGCUUGUUUAAACUGUUAUAUUAUAGAGGUACAGAGCUCCUAAAGGGAUAUACACAGUAAAACCAUAUAUCCUGAAGGGAUACUGUGUGAGAAUGAGAUCUUGAUCAUAAGUCACUCCCCAUGAUAAGGAUCUUGUUCCCUUUAGUUAUUACACUGUUCUCGAGUUUUCUCUUUAUGUCCCCUGAGAGACUACAUAGUGAUAUCAUAGUCACAUGGAGGAACUGUAAUGAAGUUUGAGAAAGAAACUUAAAGAGCAUCUAUAUAUUUCUCUAAGCCCCAAAAAUAAUGUAUCUUCAUGCAACUUAACCAUGUUAGUAGUUUCUCAGGCUACAUUCAGACUAGAGAUAAAAUUUGAAUUUUGAAUUUUUCCCUCAUGUGACCCAGUUUGGGUGUUUUUAGAACAGUGUGACCAGCAGAGGUGGCGUACGCAUAAAAUUUGUAAUUUGGCGACACCAAGUGGAACUCACGGUGAUGCAAGUAAACGGGUCCUGUGUCAAUCAUUGAUGAGUUAUCGCGCCAGGAUGAAGUGGCUGAGUUAAAAA